rnacentral:rRNA from 1 species
CUACGGGGCGCUCCAGUGGGGAAUAUUGCACAAUGGGCGCAAGCCUGAUGCAGCCAUGCCGCGUGUAUGAAGAAGGCCUUCGGGUUGUAAAGUACUUUCAGCGGGGAGGAAGGGAGUAAAGUUAAUACCUUUGCUCAUUGACGUUACCCGCAGAAGAAGCACCGGCUAACUCCGUGCCAGCAGCCGCGGUAAUACGGAGGGUGCAAGCGUUAAUCGGAAUUACUGGGCGUAAAGCGCACGCAGGCGGUUUGUUAAGUCAGAUGUGAAAUCCCCGGGCUCAACCUGGGAACUGCAUCUGAUACUGGCAAGCUUGAGUCUCGUAGAGGGGGGUAGAAUUCCAGGUGUAGCGGUGAAAUGCGUAGAGAUCUGGAGGAAUACCGGUGGCGAAGGCGGCCCCCUGGACGAAGACUGACGCUCAGGUGCAAAAGCGUGGGGAGCAAACAGGAUUAGAUACCCGCGUAGUC